GGCUCUGCAUGUAGCUGUUCUGUGAGAGCACUGCUCAGCAGGCACAGGCCCACCGCAUACCUGUAAGGGUAAAGAGGAACCCGCCAGGGCGCUGACAGCCGCUUGGGAGCCAGGGAGCCGCUGUGCACUCGGGUGAGCUUGGUGUGUUGGGUUUCCUGGACAGUGAAAGAGCAGUGAAUUGAGGGUCGGCGACAGCAUAGAGUGGGACAGAGCCCUGAAAUUUCCAUGCCAUCAUCCCUAGGCCCUAGGCUUUCCAUCUCACCAUCUGCGCCUUUCUGAAACCCUCAGUUAACAAAGGUGAUGGUUUUUUGAUGGAGGAGUAAUUAAAGUCCGAGCCACAGGCUUUCCCAAGCUCCCCCAGCAGGUGGAGCACAUUUCUUCAUUUUAUCCCAGACUCCCCAAAGCCUACUAGGCCAGAUAGACCUCAUCUGAAGGAGGGCAGGAUGAGUUCUUAAGGCUCUACAAGCCAGAGUGAAACCUCUAUGUUCCUUCCUAUAUGGUCUAGCCCUUCCCUGAAAGACAGGUCAGUGAAUUCUACCUUAGAAUCUUGUCUGAAAACCACCCCAUUCUUCAUGGCCAGGUAUCCCACACCUUCCCUUAACAUACCCCAAGAAGCUGUGGUAUGUUAACAGUAUUAUGUUUUAGAUGUGUAUGAACACCCUCGUUGUCAGCUGAACUUUACAGUAGAGGGUACUAUUUCCAGGACUCUUGCCUACUAACCUGCCCUGUGACUCUUAGUACCUGGACAUAAAGGAACAGGGGAGGGGCAGAUGGGUGGAGCAGAUGCGAGUGAAAAUGUUUGUUUUGGUUUUAGUUGUGUGAGGAAAUACACUGGUGCCACUGGAGACUUGUGGAGAUCAGAGGACAGCUUUCUGAAGUCAUUUCUACCCUUCUGCUUGGUGGAAACGGCUUCUCUCUUGUUUCUGCCACACCCUGGGCUAGCUGGCCUGACAGCCUCUGGCUGAUUCUCCUAUCUCCACAGGCUGCCUCACUGUGUAUAGUGCUGGGAUUACAGAAGCAGGCUCUGGUGCUCAGAGUCAAGUCUCCAAGCUUGUGCAUCAGGCGCUUUGCCCUAGGCGUCCUUGUUGCCUGCCGGUACUUAACAAGGAAGACAAGAAAGACUCUCUCAACUUCCUGACUGAACUGUGUCCUCAUUGCUUGGUAAAAUAAAUUGUCCUGAUAAGCUGGCUUGGCUGUUUUCAGACGAGAAUGAACAUUUGGGUUUGUGCUUCUGCCUUCUCCUUGAGUAAUGCCUUCCUGCUGACCCUUGUCAGUUGCCACGGCCCACACACUGCCCACACUGGGGAAAGUUAGCAGAACUUUCCCUUUGUAGACGAACUCUACCUCCACUCUGUCUGCCCACAGUUGUGUGCUCUGCAGGUCAACAGUCACAUCUCUUCAUGUCCAUCACACCUCCUCCCCUUCCCUCUGUUUCUAGGCUGUUGACUGACUUCUCCUGUUUGAUCUGUGACUCAUUUUAAUGUCUCUAUCUCAUUACCCUGCUUCACCUCUGUGCAUUUGCAUAUUUAGUCAUAUCUGCCAACUAAUUUGUUUCUCAGUGGAACAUAUGUCCCCUGUGGUAUGUCUGAUUUCUCAGAAAAUAAUUCAGAAACUUCCCUGCUAAUUUUGCUGAGUUUGGUUAUGACAGUCACACUGCACACAUGCAACUGACACUGAGCACCAAGUUGGGUUCAAAUUGAAAUCCUUCAAAACAGAACAGAUGCCUCCCUUAUCUUUGAGUAAUUAUUUUUCUCCAUUGGGUAUUUUUGUUUUAUAAAAACAUGAACCUAGACAUAGAAGUACAGUUCUCAGUGUUGGUUUGGGAGAAAAUUACAGCAAUCAAUACCCAAGUAUGUGUCCAAAGUAUGGGGCCAGCAGCAGCAUAUGUGGGGUUCCAGGAAGAGAGGAUUGUAGAUUUAUUGCAGAUGAUCCCUCCCAACUCCCCACUGACUAUUAAAUCCAAAAGAAGACACAGAUGAAAGAAGCCAUUUGGGGAAGGUUUAGCUAUAAGGCAAAUAUGUGACUCUGGGGAGGUCAUGUAACUUUAAUAGAAAUGCCAAGGGUCUGUCAAUAACAACACAGGGGACACAGGGGAAGAUGGUCACACAAGAAGCCUGGGAAUGAGGUCUGCACCCAGGACGGUCAUGGUGGGGAAAUUCAGCUUCAUCCCCACUGACACUGUACCUGGCACCUUCAAAUCCAGAAAAUUAGUAGAAAUGAUGCUCUAUAAUUUGAAGAAUUUUAAUAAAAAUCUGUAUAUAGUUUACAGUAGUCAGAAUGGUGUGUGAGAAAUAGCCAUGAGAGGGCUGUUCUUCUGUGGGAGCAAGG
rnacentral:lncRNA from 1 species